rnacentral:lncRNA from 1 species
UAUUAAAUUCAUAUAGUAAAUAAAUAAAUAUUAAGAAUCAUUCUAGAGAGAGGGAAUUCUACACUAUCACACUUGCACCACGUCAUCAAUAACAAGUCAAUUACAUUUAUUUUUUUGAAACAAAAAUGCAAUAAAAAUAUUUUUUUAUAAUCAUGAUGGGACGUAUAUCUUUAAAAAAAGAUAUUUGAUUGGCUUGUUACGUCACGUCACUAAUAUAUUCGUUGCAUUUGGAUGGCGAAGAAUAAAAAAAAAAAAAAACUUGGAAAGAGGCAAAAUUGAGCUAGUGGGGGGGGGGGGGGGGGGGGAGGGGGGGAUUGCGCGACAAGGCGAAAGCAAUUUUGAGUCACGGGAGGGUAUGCAGUUUGUGCCGCACUAGGCGCCGAAUAAGGAGAGGGCGUGGUGGGCCCCACACCGUCUCAGCGAUGUCCGCAAUGCGGAUGCGGAUCUAUUGGGUUCGGGCCAAUGGCCGCACGACAGUUGAUGCAAAGAGAUUCGUCUAAGUAUCACCACCACCACCGCCACCACCACCUCCACCACCACGAGUAUUUAUCCUUCUAUGUAUCCGUGCACGUGUUAUUGCACGUGUUAUAAUGCACUUGUUGAAUUGUUUCUCUCACAAGAUACUGGGGGAGAGGACAUUAUUUGAGUGCCCUGGUUCACCACGGCAACUAAGUACGAGCUCUUACUUUCGAAUUGAGAAGUUUUAUAAUGGGAAAACUUGAAAAAUCCCCCUUGUGGUUUCAAUUUUUUUCACUUUAAUACCAUAUGGUUUAAAAUGUAUCAAGUUAGUACCCCGUGGUUUCUCACUUUAUCACUUAAGUACCCUGUGGUUUAAAGUGUAUCAAGUUAGUACCCUGUGGUUUUGCACUUUAUCACUUUAGUACCAUAUGGUUUUAAUUUUGUAUCAAGUUAGUACCCUAUAGUUUUUUAAACCACAGGGUACUAAAGUGAUAAAGUGCAAAACCACAGGGUACUAGCUUGAUACAUUUUAAACCACAGGGUACUAAAGUGAUAAAGUGAGAAACCACAGGGUACUAACUUGAUACACUUCAAACCACAGGGUACUAAAAUGAAAAAAUAUGAAACCACAGGGGGAGUUUUUGAAGUUUUCCCUUUUAUAAUCUAAACUUACAAUUAAUCAGAGUCAUUAAAUUUGAUCAAAUUCAAUGAUGUCAGAUUCAAUCUUAUUGUCCUUUAGAUAUUCUAUACAUAAGGGAACGUGGUUUUUUACUAUUUUUUUCUUCAGUCGUCGUAAUUUUUGAUGGGUAAACUUUUUAGAUAUCAUAGGAUAAUGAUUCAAAAGUUUUAUGUUAGUAGGUUAGGGAGAUCACUCUAUGGUAAGCUAUGGUUCAAGCAAUAAUUAAGAAAGAGGAGAGCGAAGUUCAUCACGGAACUGUCGGAACUGUUGAUGAGUGGAAGCGAGAAGUGACAUUUGUCUCGAAUCUAUUAAAAAAAACGCAUUAACACUAUUGCGUUUGAUACUGGAGCUUUGGCAAAACUCACUAGUUUGGAGGUUUCUUCGUGAUCUUUUAAGAUAUAAAAUAAAAAAAAAUACCAAAAUUUAGUAUGUGCUUUUUUGUUUGUUCUUCCUUUUUCAAAGUAGAGUAAACGAUGCUAAUGCACGAAGAAUCUGAAUACUUUUGAAUUUUCAAAAAUUCAGUGCAUUGUGCUAAAAGUGGCGCACGAGAACAAGAAUGUUGGAUACUGACCCGUGGCCUUUACGUGUGAAUCAGAUACCACUUUAGCAAUGCCAAUUUUAAGUGCCUUAUCCACAUUCGAUCCACAUGAAAACAUGAAUGACAAGUUAGGCUCAAAUGUUGCAUUAAGUGGUAAACUAAACAAAGAUCAAUAACAAUAAAGAUUAAUCAACACACAUCCAAACACACACACACACACACACACACACACACACACACACAAAAAGAGGAUAUCAAGUAGGUCUCUACUAGUUUCAUGAGUUGUCAUCUGAUUCUUAUUCUCAAAAAAGAUGAACUGGUUCAAAAGAAUUUUUUUUUUUCAAAUGCUUAUUAAUUAGUUCCGAUGCAUUACAAGUCUUGGUGUUAUUCAGAGUCGUUUAUGCCAAUGAAUUGUUGCAAAUUGCCGGUGAUUAUGUAGCGAAAGGAUUACUACGAAUUGAUUAAAUUCGAUCAGUGAAUACUAAAUACAUUUUGCAGUAGUAUACUUGAAAUACGACCAACGGUUGUUAUAUAUUCAUUAUUAAUUGUUCAUUAACGGUCCUGUAACCAAUGACUAGAAUCUAAUUCAUGAAUUAGCUAGUCCUUCUAAUUUCCUCAUUUAGAUAUCAAAUAAUUCGAACAUCAUUCAUUAAUGUUUCCUAUCACUUCAUUUUUGUGGAAGAGGCGAGCUUAAGAUAAGCCAUAGCUUUCGAUGUUCGGCGGCUACCGAACAUACAUGAAUGGCUCAUGUCCCUACUUGAUCAUUGAACCUUGUUCCAUUUUUUCUUACGAUUGGGUCCGUAUGAGUCCAUCCAAUUAAAGUUCCUGUGAGUUUUUGCAUGUGGGUCUUGUGGACUUGUGCUUGUGCCCCCACAAUGAUUUAGAAGAUACAAAUUUGUACAUGAUAUAUAGUGGCAGCUCAUAAUUGUUUGGCCCAUCAUUUUGGACUCCACCUGUAAUGCUUCGUUGGCGCGAUUGCGAUGCUACCUCCCAUUUUCGCAGUUUUAAUCUUAAUUUUUGCUCUAGUACAACAUACAAGGGAGACACUGUUGUGUUUUGUUACAUUAGGUUAAUUACUUGUUGAAGCUCAAGAUGAUGGUUAAGAUGAUGAUUGAGCCAUUGUUCUCCAAAAUUCAAGUAUACUAUUUAGAGCAUUUGAUCUCUAAAAUCUUAAUUAAUUUCCAUCAACUCGAUCACAAAUAGGGGAAGCUUUUCCUACAAUUGUCACCCAACAAAUCUUCGGUCGAAUAUAGGAAAAUAAAGUAUUCAGGCCAUAUAAAGAGAUCGCAUGUAUAUGUCUUUUUUUUGUCGGUCCUCUUUUUCUUUCUGUAUAAUUUUUCCUUUUUUUUUUUGCUUUUAAGACCUAGCUUACUAUUAUAGCUUAGUAUUUUAUUUUAAUAAAUGAAACAGAUAAUUUACUAUUGUUGAUCAGUUAAUUUCUGAAUUAGGCGAAAUAAAAGAGCUUUUGGGAUGAUAAGAUAAGAUGUCGCCCUCUCCCACGUUUGGUGCGCUAUAACCCACAGAGAGGUGGCCCUCAGAUUACAAGAGCUUUUUACCUGACAAAAAGCUACUCUCUCUCUCUCUCUCUCUCUCUCUCUCUCUCUCUCUCUCUCUCUCUCUCUCUCUCUCAUGCACUCUUGUAAAAUUAAUCAUCUAUAUAUAGAUUUACUUCUCAAAAAAAAAAAAUCAUCUAUAUAUAGAUUUGUCUGUUGUUACUGCUACUAUGAGCUUGUAAAACGUCUCUGUCUUUGGGAGAAAUUAAAAUGCGAAUUUUGAUUAAACAUAGAAAGGAAAAGGGCCUUUGUAUUAUGUCUCUUCACAUUCGGAAAAAGAAUAAAAAUGAAAGGUCUUUUUAAGUUAUUCUGUAAGAACAUUGGUAUGUUUGUUCUCUCUCUCUCUUUUAGGUGGUGAGAAUGAGAAUCUAGAGUGACCAUAUUGUUCAAAAAUAUUUAUUUAUUUUUUUAGGAAAAAGUAGCGCGCUACCCCCCUUAACUACAGCAAUGAGGCAACAGGGCCUCGCUUGGAAAAAUACAAGUAGUUAAAUGAAAAUUGCGACGGUAAAAUGAAAAGAUAAUUGAAAGAAACUGUAAAAACAAGAACGAAAAGAACCAAAAAUAAAGCAAAAACAAGAGUAAGCCAGGCAAAACCACAUUAAACUACGCUAGAGAAAGUUUUGCAUCUUUUGCUAAGAAGAUUCUCCUUCCAAAGUCUCAUUAGACAUCCCAUGUUGCUUACAACAUGAAUUAGGUCCCAUGUAAGUCCUUUGAAGAUCACUUCAUUUUUUCCAAUCAAAUUAUCCAUCAGAUUGCCACUAAAGUACACAGUAUCUUCGUACUAUUUUAGGAAGAUGCCAACAUCAUCGAUCCCUCUCAAACGACGCUCACCCUUCCUACAACCCUUCCUACAAGCUCUUGCUCAUUCACCUCUUCAAGUGACAUCACGAGCAGAUACUUGCUAACGAUGCAUCUGGUGAAGAUAUGAUCGACCAUCUCAACUCAAGAAUGUCUCCACAUAACACGCACAACUCGGAUCUUCUACCCACUCCUUUCUCAGUAGAUUAUUCGCUGUAAGCACUCUAUUGUUCAAAAAUGUUUAAAUCCAAACUGUUGAUAUUAAUAUGUAAAUUUAAUAUUUAAUAUGUCAAACCUAUAUUAUCAGUUGUUUGAAUGUAUUUGUGUGUAGCCAUUCUCCAAUUGUAUGCUUUGUUUGGCCCAUGCAUUUUUGGAAAAUUUUGGGCUAAAAAAAAAGAUAAAUGGUUUGUUCCAAUCCUUUCGUUUUUCUUUCUUCAACUUACGUGAAAGAAAUUUCAACAAAAGCAACUAAUGGAGUUUCCUCUCCAUGUAUAUCAACAAAUUAAUUCGAUCGUAAAAUUGAAAACGAACAAUAAUUAAGGAUGUGAUCAAUCACCUCGUAGUAUGUUUAAUUAGGUGGCUAAAAGAAUUGGAAUCUAUAAAAGAUGUCCCCUCUAUGCCAAUUAUUGUAGAAAAGCUGUUGUGGUGGGUCUUCUAACAAAACUGUAUUCAAGACUCUGUGUUAGGUUAUGGGGUCAUUGUUUACAAUGGCUUUCACAUGGAGCUGGAGAAGCAAACUUUUUAUUGAUAAGUGGAGCAUUUAUAUUCCAAAAAGAGUACGGAACUGAAUAACAGGUUUUAUAUAUAUAUAUAUAUAUAUAUAUAUAUAUAUAGAGUCCGGCUACUAUACUUUUAUGAGUAUUAGCUCCCUUAUACUCAUAAGUUUUCGGCCCUUUGAUUUAUUCCAUUAGUUAUUUUCAUCCGUUAGAUCAUACUAUUUAACCAACUAUCCACUCAACCCUAGAGGACCACUAACAUUUUAAGUGGGGACCACCAUCAUCCUAACCAUACAUUCUAUUAAUUAACGGUUAAAAAUUUAUGAGUACAAUGAGGUCUAUACUCAUAAGAGUAUAGUAACCCCGGCCUAUUANAGGACUCUAUACUCAUAAGAGUAUAGUAACCCCGGCCUAUAUAUAUAUAUAUAUAUAUAUAUAUAUAUAUAUAUCAUUUUAGAAUCAAUCUUUACGUAGGUGAUCAUGUUUUGUGUGGUUCUAUAAUUUUUGGCGGGAUUCGUUAUGUUCAAAGCAAAAUUGAUGGCAUCCGUGUCCUUUCGUUUUGUUUUCCUCUAAUUUUUUCGCAAACGAUGGUUUUAAUUGUGAAUAGUGAAUAUUGUUUUUCUAAUAUUAAAAUGUUAAUAAUUGUAGCAAAUUUUUUAUCAAACAAAAUUUAGAAAUAUAAAGAAAAAAUUCAUACGAAAAAAAAAAUAAAUAAAUAAAACCCGAAAAAUAAACUGAGGUAGUUGUGGAUGUCCGUGGCCGGCCCACAAAAUAUUUAGCAGGCCGAGCCCUAUCGUUGUAUUAAAUCCAUGGCCCAUAAUCACGUGGGCUGGGCCAUUUUUUCAUUUUAAAUAAAGCUUUUUUUAUUUGAGUUUGUAAAUCAGCUCUUUAUUCAAAAUAAAUAUUUUUUAGCUCAAAAGUAUGGUGUGGUGUCGUAAUUUAUUUUUAUUUUUAAUCAUCUAACAUUUGUGAUUCAAAGUCAUAGGUAAAUGAUAAAUAAAUGAAAUUACUAGUUAACAUUUUUUUACUCAUAUAUAUAAAAAAAUUUGGAAAUUAGUGGGACAAUUAAUGCAAACAAAUAAAACAAAAAAGUAAAACUUAAUUAGGAAAAAAAAAAAAAGAAAAGAAAAGAAAAGGAAAUUCUCUGCCGUGUUAAGGAACGGAUGACGAGGAAACGAGGACCAAGGUUGGGGUCGCCUUCUUCGCUUCCUCUCCUGCACCCGGAAUUCACGCUCACCAUUUUUGCACCUCCGGGAACUCCACUUCCCGGAACUCCACUUCGGCUUCGCGUCCUCCUUCGUAUACAGAGGGUUCGAGAGAGUUCCAGAGGGUUCGAGAGAGAUCGCGAGAGAGAGAGAGAGAGGGAGAGAUGAUCCCCUUCUCCGCGGCGCCCACGAAGGAGAACAAGGGUCGAUCGCUGUGGCUCCUCCUCGUGCGCGCGAAGCUUGGGCUCCCUGUCGUUGUCCUCUCCUGCUCCAUCUUCUUCCUCGUCGGCUUCUUCGGAGCCACGCUGCUAUCGCAGGUAACGAUUCUUGGUUUGGAUCUCUUUGAUCCCCACCAUCGAUCGCCAUUUCUCUCCUCUUCUUCUUCGAUUGAUCGCGAGUUGUUGAUUCGUUUCGGUGUCAAAGGAUGCUUCGGAGGAGGCUUUGCCGCGAGAGAGGUUGACGGAAGUGAACGGGGAAGUGGAGUCCGAGUGGCCCGCGAUGCCCUACGGGGAUACGGGGGAUCCUCGCCCUAUUUUGAUUCCUUUCCAGGUUGUAAUCUAUUCUGCUUUCGUUCUUCUUUGGGAGCAAUUUGGAUUCAAUGAAUAAUGCGAAAGCACCAUGUGCAAUUGUCUCGAAUUUGAUAACCUGAUGGUUGUCUACUGAAUAUGAUGAAUUUAUAGUUAGAAAGGAUUACUAUUUUCAUCAUCGAUUGUGAUUAUUAUAGGAGAAUAUAUGAAGAAUUGAUGCACGUUUAUAAAUAGGACUAAAUUGAUCAAUCAAAGUUGGUGAAUGGGAGAAGUAACUUUUCACUAUGAGAAGUUGUAGAUCAUUACUAUGUUGAAGCAAAUUGAGAUCUUUGCACCUUUGGACUUCGCACUAAGAUGUCUUAUUUGAGUUUGUCCAUUUUUCUUUUCGUUUAUUGAGGAAAAGAAGGUUUGAUUAUAACCCAGUUAUAUGGUCUGGACCCUAAAAAUUGUUGCCAACAACAUAAUGGAUUUGGUUUUACGUCCUGUUUUAGACUGGAUGUAGUUUAUUAGCCUUCUAUCACAUACUGGUUCAGGCUGGAUUAAAAAAUUCAAGGUACUUGUACAUGAUAGCUUGUUAGUUUUGGAUCUUGAUCUUCUAUAGAUCUAGCCUGAACCUUAUACAUACACAACCCCUAAUCAAAAGAUUGAGAAUAUUCAAAGAAGUUGAAUGUUAUUUUUCUGAUAGUUUCUUCAAUGUGUGGUAUCUGCUUGGGCUGACUUGAAAUGGGGCAUAAAGGGGGAAAAAAAAGACUACUAAUAUGACAAAAGUCCUGUUUCCCAUGCUAGGAAAGGCCUUAUUGUGGUUUCAAUUUUGUGUUCUAGUUCAAAUGAGUAGGAAAGAUAUCAUUCAGUAUCAAGAUGGCCAAAUGCAUGGAAAUGAUUAAUAAAUGUCGUUGAUUUUGAGAGUUUUCAAACAUUUGGAGUAUGAUUUUUAGAGGUGCUGUUAAAAUGAACAAAAAUGAAGAACAUAUUUGAUCUUACUGAUUUCAUUUUUGAGCACUGAAGUAUGUGGCGAGUAUUUAGAUUUUCUUUUUUCAAGUGAUGAUCAAGUUCAAUGAGCUUGGUGUAUCACUCAUGUACAAUGUGGACCACUAUUUUCUUGCCAAAGCAUCUAACUGAAGUGUCAUUUAACUAUCUUUUUUUUUCAAAGAAGCUUGUAGUUUCUUGUCAAGGUAAUUAAGUUCAUUAAAAGUUUUAGUAUUUUGGAAUGGUAAUUUUGAUUAAUUGUGUCAUUAUAGUCUUGUAGUGUUAAAAACCAUAUACGUUAUGAUUACCUUCAAUUAAUUUUAGUACUGAAAACUGAUAUUCUUUAAAUACUUUUUAAGUAACUAUCGUGCGGUCCUGAUGCUUUAGAGCAGGUCUUGAGCUGGAAGCCUCGUGCAUUAUAUUUUCCACAAUUUGCCACUGCCGAACAGUGCCAAACUGUAGUAAAAAUUGCUAAAUCAAGACUUGCACCGUCAACAUUGGCUUUACGGAAGGGAGAAACAGAACAGACUACUAAGGGAAUAAGAACAAGGUGAAUUUUCUUAUUGAUGGUUGUAAAAGAAAUAUAAAUGCUAGCACUAAACAUGCAAAAGUUAAAAUAGCACAUGCAAUUUGGAAAAUUCUAGUAACAUAUUAUUCUUGAAUGGACAUUGUUAUAUACAGGUGAAACCAAUAUUCUCCAUGGCUUCAAUUGAUUAAGCUCUGUACUGCUUUAAAUUAUGUUAGGGGAACUUAAUGGUAGAAUUUUGUUUGAUGCAUGUUGAUAGAAACAACGAAGUUAGAAAUUUUGACUAGUCGGCCAUAUACAUUUUUAUUUUUAUCAUUGAGUUUCACUCAUUUUUGCUUUAUGACUUUUACAUUGCCUUGAAGAACACCUUUUGUUUUAGCAACAACAGCACUGCAUCCACGUUUAGUAUAUGCACAGUUUUCCUUGUUCUUCCUGCACAAAAACUGUCAUCCAUACUUUUGAAUGAAUGUUUUGUCUCAAGUUCUUUGUUGAUGCAUAAUAUGAGUUGCUGCUCUUUACUUCUGGCAACAGUUCAGGAACAUUUCUCAGUGCCGCUGACGAUCCAAGUGGAGCUUUGGGACAAAUUGAAGAGAAGAUAGCCAGGGCUACAAUGAUACCAAGAGAGAAUGGAGAGGUAUCCCUCUUUACAAUUCAUAGUGAAGGAUGCUGUCUAUGCUGUUUAAUGUCUCUCUUUGUCCUACUAGUUGAAAAAUUAUCUUUGUACCCAAAGUUAGUAAACUUGACAUAGAGAAGGCAUAUGAUUGGUUGGAAUGGUACUUCUUAUUUCAGGUUUUGCUGAGAUUUGGUUUUCAUCCUGGAUGGGUUAAUUAUAUUUGAGCCAUGUUUACAAAUUGCUGGUUUUCUGUGCUUUAUGAUGGAGGUUCCAAAAUGUGUCAGACCACUGUCUGGGUUUUAAUAGAUACAGUCAAUUCUCACUCAUGUUGUUCUAUGUUUUAAUAUGAGUGCGGUACUUCUCUUUUUAAUACCAGCUAUUAUGUCCUUUAAUCUCUACCAAAGAUAAUUGACGUAUAUUAUCUUAGUCGUACUUCAUUUGAGGCUGACAAUUCAAAUGAAAUCAAAGUUCAUUAAAGGAAGAAAAAAAAAAAGGAUAAUACCUACAUGCUAUAAUGAAACCUUGAUUUCGUUGUAGGCUCCUUUGUAAAGGUUAGCAGUCUUAGCCAAACGACAAGUAAAGCACUAUGGCUUGAAUUCAUAAAAUCCAAAUGACUUUUGAUAAAGUCUUUCGAUCGUUUGCUGUGAUGUUAGUACUCUUAUGUCUUUGGUGUAUAUAUAUAUCGAAUAUUGAUAUUCUGUUUUAAAGGGCAUUAAAGAUAUAGUGAGAUUUAUGCUUGUAAUUACCGUCAUUUUGCAGGCAUUCAAUGUUCUACGCUAUGAGAUCGGGCAGCGGUAUGCUUCUCACUAUGACGCAUUCAACCCAGCUGAAUAUGGCCCUCAGAAGAGCCAAAGGGUAUGUAUGUAGACUUUGCCAUGUUUUCAUAUGUGCUUGAGUAACCAAUACUUAUCUUCUUAUGUCAUUAGGAGAGAUGCUAUCUAGCGACCUUUCUAAGGAUCAUUAUGUUGAUAUGGUUCUCAGGUAGCUUCUUUUUUACUGUAUCUUUCGGAUGUUGAGGAAGGAGGAGAAACCAUGUUUCCUUUUGAGGUUAGUAGCAAGCUACUCUUGCUUCUUUUGUUUUUCUUUGUUCCCCUCACCCUUAGUAGUUCUUGUAGUCUCAUAUAGAUGUAGUUGGUUUACAGAAUGGCGCGAACAUGGAUAUUGGUUAUGAUUACGAGAAGUGCAUUGGUUUGAGAGUAAAACCACGAAAAGGCGACGGCCUAUUAUUCUAUUCCCUCUUCCUUAAUGGCACAAUUGACCCGGUAUGAUAGAAAGAAACAGGAUUCAUGUCCAUGGAUAUUUUUGUCUGCAGUUUCAAUAUUUUGAGGUUUUGAAUACGUAUGCAAAUGCACUGCUUAAACAAUCUGGUGAAAUUAGAUUGCUCUCAAUUUGUUCUUGUUUUUUUCUGCAGAUGUCGCUUCAUGGUAGCUGUCCGGUGAUCAAGGGGGAGAAGUGGGUAGCAACAAAGUGGCUUCGAGAUAAAAGCCGCGACAUGAUGUAGAUGGUGAAUGUUUAAUUCAACACCGUGUGUGCACCUCUAACUACGAAAUUUUGUAACCUAUUAUAGGUACAUGAUUAAAUUACAGGAAACACGAACUGCUCUCUAUUUGCCCAAUUUUCUGAAGUUAAAAGCAUAUUACAUCUUUCAAACGCUACAAAGAAUCAAGCACAUUUCCAUACUUAUUAAAUUAUAUGAAGAACAAAGUGUAGCUUAUUCAGAUUUUCAGAGGAGCUACGUGUUACUUGAUUUGGAGGCCCAAAGCAGAUCAAUUUGAUCCCGACUAAAUGAGUCGAAUAGAAAAUGCAAGGGGCUGCUCUUGAACCUCUUUAAACCUCUCAUCAGAGCAAAAUGCAUAGAACCUUUUAUAGUCCCCACAGUACUGUUUUCACCUAAGCACAAUUUUAAAGCUUUAGACUUAAAUUAUAGUUGUAACUUUCUAACUUUUUAGGAUACAAAAACUAGUCGUGUAGAACACAAAAACAAAUUUUAUGUAAUGGAGUUGGCAAAGGGUUUGGUGAUUGGUGUUUGAGAUCUCAAGUUCAAAGUUAGUUUUUUUUUUUUUUUUAAUUUUCAACUGAGUUUAUUUUUUAAAAAAUAAAUAAAACGGAUAGUAUGCUACCUUUCUCUUAGUAGAAAAAAAAAAAAAGAGGGAUAAUGGAGUGGGCGGAGUGCCCACUCAAAUCAGGUACAAUGCGUUAAAAUGUUCUUAAACGGGCCUUAAUGCAAAUGGCCCAAAGUAAUUGAAAAACUCUAAACGGGCCAAAGCAAACAGGCCCAAAUUAUUUCAAAAGUUCAAACAGGCCGAAAGACCGAUAGGCGUUACUUAAGUGACUGUUUUUACAGUGGGCACGGACGUACGCCUAAGUUGCGGGAAACAAAACGAGAACAAAAUAAUAUUAAUUAAUUAAUUACCUUAUAAAUCGUAAUAUACAUCGAGCGAUGUACGUAUUCGUAACGGCUUUUCAAAUUUUCCUGCGACCCGUUAAUUGUGCCCUAUCGUGUUUCUUUCCCACCAUCGGCUCUUUAACGUCUCUGUCUCUCUCUCUCCAUCCAUCUGAAAGUGAUACUGCUUCCUCUAGGGUUUUAGAGUUUCGAUCGUAGGGAACCCCUCCUCCUCCUCCUCCUCCUCCUCCUCCUCUAUCUCUCGUGUCUUUAGCUCUCCUCGCCAUGGAGGCGAGCUCCGGUGACUCCCCCAUUGCGGCAACGAGUGAAAAGUUUCCGGAUUUGGAGAAGAAAGAAUCGGAUCUCGAAGCGCCGAUAACAACAGGGGGAAGCGGUAGAAAGGUAUACUUCUCUUCCUUGAGAGCAAACCCUAAUUUGAUCUUUGCUUCUUCGAUUUGCUUCUCACGAACCCUUGAUUUAUAUGCUUUUUCGGAGUGGUAUACCUCACCUCGGAUAGUUUGAUACAUUUGCACUAGAUAGGGAAACCCUAGCCUAGAUUUUCUGAUUGGGGAUAUUGUCGCUCGUCUUGCCCAUUUUCUAGGGUUUCUUUAUUAUUUACAGUGCUUUAUGUUUUUUCCCCGAUUGAUGCUUUUUAAUUUGAAUCGACAAGAUUGUUAAUUCUGCUUCGUGAGAUGCUUCUUCUAAAUGGAACAGUAAUUUAGAAAAUUACAGUCAUCUUCAUGUAAUUUUAGGGCCAUUUAUGUUGGUUGUGGCUGUUUUGUCGUAUCCGCUUGAAUGAGGCAUUCAUGCUAUUAUUUCCUCAAUUUAAUAACAUAAUAUUUUUUUUAUAAGCAAAUUGAUUAAUGUUGUGAAGGAAGGAGCUGCAUUUUUGUCAAAAAGUUUUUCCCUGUUUGUUGAAUCAACUAGCUUCUGAAAAUUUUUCACGAGAUCAAUCUUUAAAUUGAAUAUUAUGACGUCAGUAGAUUAAAGAAAAGAGGUGAAAUUAGAGUCAAGUUCUAAUAUGGAGGGCCUUUUUGAAUAAUCUUUUAUAAGGUUCUUUCGCAGCCAAAGCAAAACUUUAAGCUACACAUGACUAUUUUAUGAUGGUGUGAUCUACCGAUUUGCUAUAUGUUAGGUAAAGAUAUCGGAUCUCAUGUUUUGUGUACCAGGCGAAAUUUGAUGUGCCUAUGAUCUUGUUAAACAUAAUUCGUUUCGUCUGUCUUUUGGCCCUUGUUGUAUUACCAUUUCAGUUCUGCUAGAAAUGUUAGAAUGUAAAGAUGAACUUCGGUUGUAUCUUUAUCCCUCUAUUUUCGUACAGAGUUCAGGAUCAAAAGAGACCGGUCAUUCAAUUCUAAACUCUGUAAAUAAAUCAACAUUCCAAAUAAAGAAACCCACGCAUCGGAGAAGUGCUUCUCCAAUCAACUGGUUUCCUCGAAAAAAGGCAGAUUCAUACUUAAAGAGAAAAAUAAAGCAUCUCCAGGUACAGAAUGUAUAGCAUCUAUUUCUCCAUUUGUGCAAGGAUAAUAACUAAAUUUUCUUAUUGAUAUGAAAGAUCUAUUUCCUUAAGCUUACUUAUGUUAUGUAGGAAGUUGGAGGGAUGAACUUGUCUCUUGAUGAAACUCUUGGUAGUGCUAACCCUCACUAUACCAGAAUAGCAAGGGAGAAAAUUGCAGCUAGAGAAGCUGCAAGGAAAGCUAUGAAAGCUCGUAAAGCUGCAAUGGUUGAAGCCUCUUGGUGUCGAAUUCUUCAAGCAGCCAGGUCAUACUAUUGCUAUAGUUUCACGCACGUCCCUGUGAACUCUAUAUUUUCACUCAUGCCUUAUAUACGUUCACCUGCAUGUGCAAACUCGUCCUGAUGAAAUUUCUUCUAAUACAAAAACAACUUUCACCCAAUAGUGAGAAAUGACACUUGAGGGAUGUGUAUGAAAAAUCAGAUUUUACAUGGGUAUAUAUAUGUAUCGGUUAAUUUUGAAGUAAUAUACGACGAAAUCAUUUUACAUGCAUGUAUUUUAAUUAAUCUGUAUAUGACAGGAUCCAAAGCAAAGAAGCGGAGGAAGUGUUGGAGAAAGCUAAACUCCAUGCAGCAGAAGCCUUUGAAGCAGCAAGAGCUAUGGGUGUGAUGAUGUAUGAUAAGCCAGACUGUCCUAGGCAACCAUGUGAAGUAGUAACAUCCGCAGCUGUUGGAGGGCGAUCUACUCACAAAAUAAGUGCUUCUUUUGAAACUGCUUUCGAGGUAGACAAGGAAGUCGCAGCAGCAGUUAAGAAAGCAUUUAUCUGGCUCGCCAAUUGCCCCUCCUCUUCAAACAAAGAGGAAUUCAAAGACUUGCUAUGGAAAAUCAGUCAGAAUCCUGAUUCUAAUGAAACUGGCGAGGAUUUAACUGAUCCUCAAAGUGAAGUGGAAUUGGAACUUGUUCAUAAAAUGCUUGAUAGGCUUAAACGUCUGCACGAAGAUGAGCUUUCGUCUCUAGCUGUUGUUGUUGCUACCUGUGGUCUAAAUGCUGCUCUUCUUGAAGUAGAAUCUGGAAAAGACCAUGAUCUUGGACCAGUUAACAGUUUGAGUGUGGGCUUCCUAGGAACAUCGACGAGAAGAUUUUCUAAUGUUCAAGGAUUUUUAGAGGAAAAUUUGCAGAAGAAAGAAGCUGUGACAGAAGUUCCAAGUCUUGAUAAGUUCUUGGUGAAGCAUGUCUCUAGACUUCAAAGGGAAGUUGAAGAAGCAAGGAAAGUAAAGAAAAGUGAUUCUAAAUUGGAAAACGAGAGAUCUAGGGGUAGCAAUGUAACAAUUGCUGAAUGUGCUUCUGACUUGGGAAGUGUUCUUGUAAAGCAUGUCUCUAAACUCGAAAGGGAGAUCCAAGAAGCCAAGAAGAACAUCCACAAGGACAACCCUCGACCAGAAGGUGGAAAAUGUAUGGAGUCGAAUGAUAUUGAAGGUGUCAAUGCUGAAAAUCAAGGGGCUGAAUCGAAUAAUGUUGCAUCCGAGUCCACAGGAUCAUGCGAGGACAGAAAAAAGCAUGAGUUGUUGGCAGGGCAUAGAAAUGCUCAAGCCUAUUCUCACGGUGGUAUUCUAGAAGACAAAGAGAACAUUGUUUUAGAUCAAGUGAAUAAAAGGUUAUCUCGAGUUGAAAGAGCUAAAAAUGAAGUACUCAAAACAUUCUCAUCAAUUAAUAACAAUGGAGGUGAGGAGGCACAAUUCGCGGGCCUUGAUAAGAUUUUAGUUAAGCCAGUUUGCAGGUUGGAGAAGGAAAAGAUGCAACGUUUGGAAAAUGUAAGCAAUUUUAAAUCCCAAAAAUGUGAGAAAAGGCAAGGAAACGAAGCGAUACCAUUAGAGAGCUUAGAUAAGAUACUUGUAAAACAUGUCUCUAGACUUGAGAGGGAGAAAAUGGCAUUCCGGGGAAAUGAUGAUUCAAUUACUAUAAAGAAAAGAGAAAAGGAAAGUAAAGAAAAAGGUGUGGUGGAGAGUCUGGGUGAGAUCUUAGUUAAGCAUCAGUCGAAACUUGAGAAAGCUAAGUUGGCUGCAUCUGAGCAACUAGGAGAUGAUUUUCAAAAUGGAAAAACUCGAAAAGAAGCAAGAGAGAGGGAGUUGCUAGAAGCUUGGGGAGGAUUGAGCUUGGGGAAUUCUAUAAAGCCUCAUCUCUCUAGGAUUGAGAGAGAUAAGGUAAGUUACUUCUUUUUGAGUCUUUGUUCUUUAAAUGUGAGGAAAUGAAGAUGCUAAUAUUCUUUUUUCUUUUUUUUUUUCAUUCAGGCUGCAUGGAGGAGGGCUGAGGAAGAGCAAAUGCAUGCUAUGGGAGUUUAGAAGUAAUUGUGCUACUCCUUUUAUUUGUUUUUUUUUUCUUUUCUUUUUUGUUGGUUUUAAUUCCCCUCAAAGAUGAUGUAGAUACAUUCUCUCUUCUCUGUGUGAUGUUCUUGCUUUGUCCCGUUUGUAGAAUAGAUCCUUCUUUUGAAGCUGUGGAAGGUCAUCUAUUGAACUUCAUCUAAUGAAAUGUUUUUUUUGAGAAAGAAGUAGCGAGCUACCUGCUUCAUUCAUCAAGCAUAAUGAACUAAGUGUACAUGAUGGAAGCAGCUAAGGCCUCUUAUGAAGCAGAAAAAAGUAGAAAAUGAACAAGGAAGGAAAAAUAGAACUAUAGGAGAAAGCUAGAGAGCUAGAACAGGUGAUGCGAAAAUACAAAAGUGAGAGAUCAGGAAGAAGAAGAAAGGGAUCACAGGUCGUUCCCGGCAUUCAUCAAGGCAAGAACGUCCAGUCGUUCGUCAAGGUAUAGACGCGCUCAAGAGCCCUGGUAGCAUUGGGGCCGUACUCGCGGAAGAUAGUGUUGUUGCGUUCCGUCCAAAUGACCCACCAGGUUGCUGCCAAAUUGGUUAGGCGUUUCCUUCUCCUCGUUGCGCCAGGGAUGCUAGAAGUAUUUGCCCAAAGACUUCGCACGUCACUUUGUUAGUUGGUUCUGGGCUUCCAUCACAGAAAAAGAGAAUGAAAUGUUAUGUAGAACUUCACCUUUUUGUCAAUUAAAUUUGUAUUUAUUGACAACAAAAGAAGAAAUACCUCACUUUUGCAGUUGCCGUUUUGACAUCCGAGUUCAUCAUUCGAGUUUUUUUAAGUUUAUCUCUCAUGACAUUAGUCAUGUUUGGUGAAAUCCGUUGAGUAGUUAAAUAUCUAAAACUAGGUGUUUGCAUCUUGUUGUUGUUAGGCAAAAACAUGCAGGCCUAGCAUAAGGUACGAUACAUUCUGAAACAGGCAUCUUAGCUUUCGUUUCAAAAUUUUACUUUUACCAUUUUAUGGUAUAUUUGACUCUCUCUCUCUCUCUCUCUCUCUCUCUCUCUCUCUCUAUAUAUAUAUAUAUAUAUAUACAGGUAUAUAUUUAAUGAAAACUUUUAAGUUCCUAAUAGAAUGUUGACAAAAUAUUUGAAAUGAGUGGAGAAAUUAGUAGUAAUCAAAAGUUAAUAAGAUGAAAGGUUUAAAUACUUUAAUCUCUUUCUCACUCAAAAAAAAAAAAAAAGAAAAAAAAAAGAGGAAAACUUUACUUGGGCACCAUCUCAACAGCCAACAACCAAUUUUUGAGCUUGAAAUAAAUGAGUGUGGUUGGACUAUAAGUUUUUUAACAACUACACCACAUCAACCACAACAAACUAAUCAUAUCCUUUUUAUCUAAAAUAAAUAAAUAAAUAAAUCUAUCUGAGGAAUCAAAUUCGAUUGAUUUGUAACAUUUUGUCAUUCAUAUGAUUAUCAUAUCUUGGACUAUUUCGCUUGUCCGAUCUAUGUAAGUUUGAGGACAGCUAAGUGAUCUACCACCAACAAGAUUAGGUUGAUUUCGGCUUUGACACGUGUCCGUUCUGUCCACCACUAAUUCAUCCUUUGCCAGUUGGGAACCACUGCAUUCAUUCAUUUCAUUUGCUCUCCCGUUGAUGGGAGGUGAUACUUUUCUUUCCCAGCACUGCGGUUCCGAACUGGGGAAAAGUUGAUGCUUUUCCAAUCUCCAUUUUUUUGAUUUUCCCGAACACGGUUUUAAAAAGCUCGAAGGUGAUGGAUCUUUCCAGAAGCUCACGAUCACUAACAAAUCAUGCACUUAUAUCGUACGUGUAGAAGUAGCUCAGCUCAGUGCCUGUUAUUUAGAUUGUGUUCUUGGCUUUUUAGAUAAGAAAAAUUAAUUUAACAGUUUAAAAGAAAAAUUAAAAGAUAAUUAUCUCAUCAAAUAAUUAAAAAUUGAGCAAAAGCCAGUUUUUCGAAGCGAUUUAUGAGACGGUAAUAGUGUAAAAAAUGAUAGCAAAAACCGACGGACUAGUUUAAAAUAUCGAAGGACGUGAUGGACUAAUGUGCAAAAAGUCUCUGUAUAUUAUUAUGGUCCCCUCGGAUCCCUAAGGCCCGUUACCCCGUAGCCACCGCAAAGUCCACAGAGAAAAGAAAAGAGGCGAGGAAAGGGUUCGGGGGAAAGAGAACGAGGAGAGCGAUCGCCAUGGGAGGCGGCAACGGGCAAAAGGCGAAGAUGGCGCGCGAGAGGAACAUGGAGAAGAACAAAGCGGCCAAAGGUCGAUCCCGAUCUCCUCUCUCUCUUUUUUUUUUUUCUUUUUUUUUUUUUUGAUAUCAAUUAGGGGAAUUCUAUGGGUUUCUUCUGUUUUCUCACCGAUCGAUCGCUUUUUAAAAAAAUUUCGUGCAGGGAGCCAGUUGGAAUCGAACAAGAAGGCCAUGAACAUCCAGGUUCGCCUCUUUUUGCUCGAUCUAGUGAUUGUUGGAUGUUAAUUUCUCACGAGAUUAGAUGAUAUUGUUGUAUCUUGAUAGAUCUGGCCGUUUUGGCCGGAAUUUUGUUUAUCAGGGUUAGGGUUUUUGGGAUAGUUGGUGACUGGUGGAGUAAUUUGGUCAUCGGACCAAUUUUCUCUAUAGAAUGAUGAACAAGGAACUAGGGUUUCUAGACUGUUUAAUAUGAGUGAGAAAACUUAGUGAUUAUUUGGAUGAUGGCGUUGUGGGCUCUGUAUUUAGGAUGAAUUUUAGUUUUUUUUUAGGCAAUAUUUAUUUGUAGUAGAAUCUCAUAACAAUUUAUACAAUUUUGAUCUGGUGAGGAGCGACCGAUGUCAUCUGAGUGGUGGAAAUCCGUCCUUUCCUUGUUGAUGGUUCUCUAGGAUUUGCAUGAAGGUUGAUAUGAUCGUGGAUUACCUAGUUUCUUAGAUCCCGUAUCUUAGACUGACUCUUUUUGCAGUGGAUUUUCCUUAAAAUCUCUUAGUCCGGGCAAAAUUACUAUAUCUCGACACAGUAUGUAUUUUUGUUUCCUUAGAUCCUGUAACUGUACUGAGGCUAAAUGCGUAGUUGCUAGUUCUCUGUAAUGAGUCACCAGUGGGAACUAAAGACUAAUCUUGCUUAUUUAACUCUUUCUUGAUAGGGAUUUUUUUUCAGUUUGAUUUCUGUUUUUAUCUUUAAUAUUCUGCAGCAUUUGUGAACUAGUUAUUUUUGCAACCAAUAAUAUAUGCUUGUAUACACUUUCAGAUGAUAUGAAUUCACUUUUUUUUUAAAAAAAAAAACAAGGUUUUAAUUUUUGAUAUAUAACUUUUCUGCGACAAGUAAUGAAUAUUUUAGGAUCUAUUUGGUCUUGUUCAAAUUGCUUAUUGCAUAUAUCUUAUGAAAAGUGAAAAUUGUGUAUAUGCCUUUGCGAAUUAUCUUCUAAACAAUGGAGCCACUUGGAUACAUAUGUAUGCAAGUUAUGACUUUGAUGAUUGGUAUCUAUGCAAAUAUGUUGGUGUCUCUGCUGUUCUUACGUUAGUGAUGUAUUGACUAGUUUCUUGUUUAAGGUUUCUUGGUUUCAUCAGAUGUUACUUAGGUGUCUUUCAAACCCAUGAUUUACCACAGCUGAAGAGUUCAUGUUCACUAUGCGAGUAAAUUUGAUAUAAUGGAAGCAUGCCAUUAUGAUACUGGAUUACUAAAUUAUCUCGUCUUUGUCAGAUCAAAAGCCUGGUAAUUUGCUGAAAAUGUGAUGACUAUUUACUUGUUCCUAAUUCUAUUUUUUCCUUGAUUUAGUGCAAGGUAUGCAUGCAGACAUUCAUCUGCACCACGUCAGAAGUGAAGUGCAGGGAACAUGCCGAGGCGAAGCAUCCGAAGACUGAUCUCUACCAGUGCUUCCCCCACCUUAAAAAAUAGUACUGGGGCUAGAAGAAGAAAGAUACAACUGUUACUAGUUUUCUUAAGGGUGGUUUUAUCUGUUCUGUGUGUUAAACUGGGUUGCAUAAGUGUGUAGACAUCCAUCUGUAAUGCUUUGAACUAUUUUAAGAGUGGAUUUGCUUCCCUGCUGAUGCAUCUUCUGCUUAUUCGUAUUUGAAAACAUAUUCUUUGGUAACAAUCUGGUGAAAGAAAACCAACAGUUUAGUUUUCCGAAAUGUAUGUUAAUGGAAUCAAGUGUCAGAAUGUAGUUGCUGUUGUCUGUAUGGUGCGAUCAUUUUACAUGACAAGAUGGCAGAGAUUAAACACCCUUUUAUGAUGAGAAAAAUCAGAGUUUAUGAGCAUUUACAGUCUUGUAUCCCCUACUAGUUUGUUGAUUUUGCGAUGAGUUAUUUGUUUUACCAUCCCUGCAGAGCAAUUAUAUCGUAAUAAUUCAUGUAGUUAUUAUGAUACAUUAGUUGAAUUAUCGAAUCGUUGAGAUAAUACUAUAUUGUUACACAAAUUAGUUGUUGCUGUAUUACCGUAUUAGGUACAAUGUUGUGUUGGCGGUGCUUGAAAUACAACAUAUUGUUCUGAGGUAAGGACCAAGGAUUCCUACAAUUAGAAACUUCAAUAUAGUAUCGCAAAUGCCUAUUCUGUUAUCGAUUCUGUUUAUGGAUGAUUGGUAUCGAUAAAGAAAGAUACAUAGACUCGGUGAAUUUGGUAUUGAUAAAGAAAGAUCCAGGGACUAGUGACACAGUAAUUUACAAUGAGGACCACAUUUCAAGUGAUUCUGAGUUAUGUAUGGACUGGAUGUGCAUGUUCACGUUCUAUUGCGCCUUUUGCCUCGCUCUUGGUUUCUUUUGGUUUCUAAAGCAUUGUCCAUGUGAAACUGAAUCCUCUUCUAGACAUGUGGAGACCUUAUAUUUAUAAAUUCUGCUAAAAGAAGAAAAGUUGUUAUAGAACACUGAAGCUGAGUCAGAGAUAUAAAGCUUAAAAAGAUGAAUGACAUACUCAUAUGAUGUGUCUCUCAAAUCCUCAGAAAAGAAAUGGCACGACUCUUGUCUUAGAUUCUUCUCAGAUUCUGGUGCAUUUCUUGCCAUUUCCUCUGCUUUUAUGCCUGAAUCUAUCAAUUCCCUCAAUACAUUUCGACUGUACCGUACAUUAAUUUUUCCUUGAAAUUUUUGAUCAAAUAGGGUUUCAGGAUUGUAAUUGCUUCUUCAAAUGAACCAUUAAUCUAAUAAUCUCUCUCUUUAUUUUUCUACUUAGUACACAUAAUUUAGGUGGGGAUGAAGCACAUGCCUGUGUUGUUUUGUCUCUCUUCCCUCCUGCCUUAUCCUCUUACAUGUGGAUGCAUGGAACAAUGGAGAUCCAAUCAACACAUCCUCUUUGAGGUUAAUAAUUUUCUCUUCAUUAGAAUAACCAACUAGAUUAAUCAGACUAAGCAUCAAGCACAAACAAAUUAGCAGAUGGACAGGAUAGGUUUCUCCUCAUUCUACCUAAAAAGCCACCAAAUAUCAUUCCUAAGGAGAGUAAAAAAAAAAAAAAAAAAAAGAAGAAGAAAAAGCCUAGUUAAAAAAGCUAAAAGUGACAAUAAGGCUAUUCAUGUCAUCUUAAGGCUUAAGCAAUGGAGAAGCCAUGGCUGUUGCUUAAGCCCCUCCUGCAUCAUUCCCUCUCCUGCGUCGAAAGCUCUAGUCCUCUCACUCUGAAAGCUAGUGUUCACAUUCGGCACCUGAACAAGUCCCCAUUCAUGGCCUAAAUGCCCGCCGGACUCGGUUGAAGAUGACGAGAAGCUCGCUCCGGAGUCGCAAGAAGCGAAAGCAGUCCCUUCUCUCUUCUUUCUACUGCUUCCGAUGGCAAGCGUAAGAUCUAAUUCGCUCUCCUGCUCGAUAUCUAGCAUGGCCUCUUCAUCAUCUUCUUUGGUGCUUACUAUAUAUUCAUCAGCUGGCAGAUCUAAGUUAAGUGCCUUUCGAGGCUUAUUCGGAUUACGGUUGGUAGGAGAGGAUGAAGGGGUCCUUUGUCUCUUCAGCUCUUUGCUCUCCAUCUCCCUCAUCAGUAGCUUCUGAACUCUAUACAAUCGAUGGAGCUCGUGAACCUGAAUCGAUAAAAUUGUGCAAUGUAAAGAGAUCAAUUAGCUUGAAAUUUGAACCGAUCGAGGAGGAGUAGAAUUGAGAUUACACAAUAAUUGAGACCUGAGACCUAUACCUGCUGUCUAAAAGUUUCUUCAUGCUUCAGCAUGGCCAUCUUCAGAUAUUCUCUAUCGUAACGUCGAAUGAACUGCUCCAUUGCGCUCUCCUUUUAAAGAAAUUGCGGAGAAUUUGAUCUUUUGUGUGUCACCAAAACAAGUGGAGAAACCCAAAUGUUACAGAAUGAUUUUGUCUUCUUGUUAUUCUCCAAUAUACGUGUCGCAAUUCGGUUUCCAAAAAUGUCGGUGUCGCCCUGCAAAUAUUCCGAUUCUAGUGAGGCCAAAGUUGAUUGAUUUUAUAGCACUUUGAUGAGAUUCCCACUAGUGUCUGCCGGGAAGACGACAAUCCAGUCCGAAAAUUGCAAAUGCAGACAAUAGGUAAUCCAACUUUAAAUGUAUAGGACUUAAAAUUCCAGAUGAAGGUCUUGAGAUAUGACGUAAAUUUAUUCCGAAAACCAUCUGAUAUGAGGGACCAAAGUAGAAUUGUAAUUUGUCCAGUUGUCUAUUUCAAUAUUACUGCAGCAGAAUAAGCUGCAGAUUAUAUGAUAGUCACAUUGAUUCUAUUUUGCGUUGUUUCCUAGAAAAACAAUAGAACUUGAAAAGCAAGGAAUUUGCUGGAGAAAAAAAAAAGAAGAUUAAUAUUUGCAAUAAGUAAAAGUUUAGCAGCAAUAAUUGAAUAUCAUGGGAUAGUUAGAUUUCCCAUUUUCAAAUCCCCCAAUUUUCUCUCUCUAAUAAAAUGCACCAAAAAUUAAUUCCUCUGGAGACAAAGGUAUAUGCCCAGUAGUUUCAGAAGCAUGUGUAAUCAUUAAAAGUUAAGAAGAAAAUCCCUUUCAUAAUUGGUAGUUCACUCAAUGAAGAGGGAAAUCCAACAAUCAAUAUUACAGGUGGUAGAGAGAGAGAGAUUGUUCAUGUGAAAUAACAAAAACAAAAGGGGGUUGGAUAUUGAUAGAAACUAACAUUUAAAUAGUACCAUACACAAAUUACUUUGGGAAUUAACAUAAAAUUGAGGAUUAUGAUGGACAAACUAGACCACUAUAUGUGUGUGUCACAUGGCUAAGACCAUGAACAAGAGAACCAACAAUCCUUUGAGAAGAACUUCAUAUGUUACAUCUUUUAUCAUCUACAAAAGGCUCAAAGCACCCUCACCUGUGAUCAACUCUUUGGUAUCAGCUCCUAUGAUGAGGAACACAAAAGGAGCUUCUUCAAUGGAAAGAGAGAGAGAGAGAGAGAGAAAGAAAGAAAGAAAGAAAGAUAGAGAAGGAGAAAGCUUUUCCAACUCCCUCUGAUCACACCCUUUCCUCAAUAUGAAGCUCUCCUUUUGGGGACACAAAGAACAACCCCACAACUCCUCAAUUCCCCCUCAAUGAGCACUCCUAUUUAAAACUCCCUCCACAGCCCCCACCCCCAACCAAGGAAUAAUAUAUUACUUGGAUCUAUUUAGGCAUGCCCAAACAAAACCAUUCUUAGCUCAGUGAAGUUCCAGGUGCAUGAGGAGAAAAAAGAUGCCCCAGAGAGUGCCAACAAAGGAUAGGCACUAAAAUAAUCAAAGGGGACCCCUCACAAUUAUUUUAUAUAGAGAGGAGGGUAUUGGAUAAUUAUAGAGCACUACUCCAGAGAAUCACCCAAACAAGCCAGCUAAACCUACCAUGAUACUACACAUGUGCCCAACCCCCCAACCCCCCCAAGGAUUUUUUAUCUAUCAUUUUCCAUGUAUCAUUACAACUUGUUUCCACUAACAUACACUAUUUAGGAUAUGGUGUAGCCGAGGAAUAGAAUGUGGGUGUGUUUACACUUGUUCAGGAGAAUAUUUUGCGCCAAUAAUCGUUUGUAAAUGCUUGGGGGAGUUAUUGGCUAGUGGUGCAAUAGAGAAACUUCCACAUGGAUGGGGUGUACCUGCUGCUUUUUAUGUGUAUUGGAUGUUAUAUAUAUAUUGAACACAGCAGUACAGGUUACAUUCUUCUUUAUGUACUUUUAAAAGGUCGUAUUUAGCUUAUAACUACUGCCACCUUUUCAGCUAAUAAGCAUUCCAUGACAUCUUGAGCUUGUCUUAUUGCUUGGCCUUAUCAUCCAUCUGCUGGAUUUCGGGCCGUGUUCGCGAUUUGUCGGCCAUUAAAAUCACGGGCUUGUUUUGGUAGAUUGAGCGGUUUUUGAUUUGCCAGUACUGAUAAACUUAUCGGAUUCCUUUUCACAUUAUUCACAAUGUAUUAUAUAUGCGGGAUCCAAACCAAUUUAACUUUUAAACUUUAAAUUGAAUUGGGCAAGUUAAAUUGGAUUAGAUUAUGCUACUUACCACCUAUCUAAGGAACUUGGUGGAGCCUUUUUCACUAGCUUUGACCACUUUGGGCUCAUGAUGUCAUUGGACCAGAUAAUCUUAUGAUCCAAAUUUGGUCCACCACCCACCACCACCACCACCAUCACCAAAAUUGGAUCAGCUAUGAUCACCAUGAUGCACCCAAUGCCAUGCAUGAUCCUGAUUCAAUGCACAUGGGUCCACAUACAAUCCCAUCAUCAUCACCGUUAAUCCCUCAUCACAAUUUACAUUACAUUGCUCCUAAAAAUAAAUACCUAGUAAUUAAAAUAAUCCCCUGUUCCUCACUGAAAACAAGCAUUGGAGACACAUGGGUUCGCGUGCAUUAUUGGCACACAAUAAUGAAAUUAGUAAUGAUAAUAAUAAUACAAACCUAUAUCCCUUUUCUUUGGGAGAGGGGAAGAGCUCAAUUUUGUCCUCUUUUGAGCUUCGCACAAUCACACCCAUCCCCAAGGGCCGUGGAUUCAGUGUAACGGCUUUGCUUCGAAGAGGGUUUGGUGGUUACUGGGUACAGCGUAUGUGCGUCAUGUAAAAAGAAAAAAUAAAAUAAAAAAGGAAAAUGCUCGGGUGUGGAUACGANGUUGCACCGAAGAGGGUUUGGUGGUUACUGGGUACAGCGUAUGUGCGUCAUGUAAAAAGAAAAAAUAAAAUAAAAAAGGAAAAUGCUCGGGUGUGGAUACGACUUACGGGUAGUGCUCUCAUAGUCUCAUAUGGUGAGGUCAUUUGGAUAAGAGUAAUGCCUCGCGUAACAUGUAACCUAGAAACUCCCUCAAAGUGUAAUUUAUACGUUUCCAUAUAUAUAUAUAUAUAUAUAUAUAUAUAUAAAUUAGUAUCUUUUUAGAGUUAAAACCAAUCACCGAGCAAUGCUAUUAUCAACGCUAAAUUUAUUAUUACAACCGUUUCGUUGCAUGUAGUUGCAACUGCAUUGCAGUUGUAAUUACAUGCAAAUAUAAAUAUGGUAUUUAGUUUUUGACAUAUUUAACUCUAAUUGUUAUAGAAACUGCAAUAGGAGGUCCAAUUACAACAAUUAAAAUAACGUCUAAAUUAACCGCAGUUCCAACAACAACCGUUGGAGAGAGUAAUUUUAAACAAAAGUUAAGUUUAUCUCCUUAAUUAUUUUUUAAAUAAAAAAUAUUUUUUUUUUAUAUUGAAGGUAAUCUUACCAUUAUAAAUGAUCAUUUCUCACAUGCAUACAAUCAAACAAAUUAUUUGUAGUUACAACAGUUUUUACUAUAUCCAACCAAACAGGAUGUAUAUAGUUGCAACAGCUGUAUUUUCAAUUGCAUACAUCUUCAACUAUACUGUAUUUAUAAUUACAUCUAACCGAACAAUCCCUUAAUGUAUUUGGUCGGUAAUCAAUAUCGAAUUUGAGUAGAUACUUCCGCCCACUUCUAUAAAUAAGAUUUGCGCCGAAGCAAUUGAUGCCAUUUAGUAAUAAUAAGUGGGAUUUAACCAUUUUCAUAUUCAAGUUUCAUCAAUCUUUGCUUUGCUUGAGAGUGGGCAUAGCAUAGCAUUACUCGCCUUAUUAACCGGAUCGGCACUAUUUUGGGGUAUCUUUUGGGGUACCCGUAGCGAUACUCUUUGGAUAAACCCUAGAACUCAAAGGUGCCGACAUUGGUGCACGCGUUGCCGGAGAGGGGAGGCGCAGCCGUACGAGGUGGUGGGCCCCCCCAGGGGGCCCGUUCCCCGAGGACCAAGAGCCCGAUCGGGGGGCCCACCACCCAUUCAAUUAUUAAAAGAUUAUUAAUUAACUAAUUAAUAAAUUAAUACCCAAUAUUUUGUAUAUACUCUAAUGACAUAAUUGGGCAAAUUAUACAAAGAGGAGUGCUAUUUAUAGAAAAGGUUAUGAAAAGGAGAGAAACGGCAACGUUGUUCUCCUUUUUCUUCUCCCUUUUUGUUUGUUUUUUUCUUUUUCUGUGUGCGUGUGUGUGAUUAUGAUGAUGGGUAUUGUUAAUUAAUCACUUUAUAUCUUGGUAAUUGUAAUAGAAAAAAAAAUUAAAAAAAAAAUAAAAUAAGAAGUUACUUUUCGUACUCUGACUACUAUAGGCAUGAUUUUGCUUUUUUGGGUUAUAAAAACUAUUUUUGUUUGGUCGGUUAACUUACAUAUGAUUAGUAAUAAACAAAUAUCGUUUUCAUGUACAUACAAGUAAAAUAAAAAUAUAUCAAGAAAAUCGAGAUAAUUUUUUUAAAUAAUAAGAUGAUAAAUUAAAACAUUAUUGCUAGAUUUUUUUUUAAUCUAAAAUAAUAAUGAUUGAUUGAUUGAAUUGUUAGCAGUAACCUUAGGUGGAAAAAUUACUAAACACAAUGAGGAAUGUUUCUCCAAGUAUCAGAAAUUGGUAACAAUGUUUGACCUGAUUUGAAAUUUCUUUUGAACAGAGUUUUUUUUUUUUUUUUUUUUUUUGCCCUUUUCUUUUCAUCAAAGGCCCUGUGGACAAUCGAUUGGAGUAAAAAAGAAGUUAAUCAUGCAGAGAAAAAGAACAUGAGGGUCUUUUGGUCAAAGGGGGAACACGUAAAAGGACUUGUACACCCUGCUUCUCUUUUUGACUUUUGUAUAAAGUUGUUUCAAAGGAUUUAAUGAAGGAACUUUUAAUGCUUGUCCAAUAGAUUUAUUCAAGUAACAAGUAAUACUCACCACCGUCCCAGAAGCAAGUGGCAAAAAACUUAAUGAUUGAUAUCCAAAAUUAUAAAUUUGAAUCUUAAUUGAUUCAUAUUUUUAGCUAAAUUUAUUUCUAAAUGAAAUAAAUAAAACGGGUAGCAUGCUAUCUAUCUCUUUAUAAAAAAAUAGAACAAAGUAAUACUCAAAUAAGAGCUUCACGUCGAGAUUUUGGACUUGUUUUUCACGGUACAGGAGGAACAAAGAAAAAAAAACUCUUAGGUAGUUUUAAUCCAGCUAUCUGUAUACGAAAUACUGCGAUAAUCUAAAAUAUCUAUUUGAAUUUAAUCAGAAAUGUUCACCCUAUAAAUUCAUAUUAGUAUAUAUCAACUCUCGAAAAAAAAAAAAAAGGUGUUUAGAGAAUGAUCUUUGAAUAUUUUAUAUUCAAUACUACUUUUUACAUCUGGAUUCAAAAUUUAUUUUAAUAAAAUCUCAUGCUCCGAUAAUACAUAAAAUUAAAGAAAAACUUCAAAUACCAGCUCUGUGGUUCCGUAUUUUCUUACUUUAGUAUCAUAUGAUUUAAAGUGUAUCACUUUCGUACCAUAUGGUUUUAUUUUUCUUUUUUUUUAUUCUCUCCACUAAUUUUUUUUAUUAAAUCAGUGAUAAAGUUAAAACUAAAGAGUACUAAAAUAAAUAUUCAAUAAAUUAUGGAUGAGGUAUCUAAGUUUUUUAUAUAAUUUAACGAGAAGUCAACGGAGGAACAGAUAAAAAGAAAAAAACUGAUACUACAGAGUAUUAAAUUGAUACAUUUUAAAUCACAUAGUACUAAAAUAAAAAAAUACAAAAUCACGGAGGGUAUUCGAAGUUUAUUCUAAAUAAUUAUUAUACAUGAGAACUUAAGUUUCAAAGAGAUAUUGUUUGAAUGUUUUAUGUACACUUCUCUCAUGCGUCACCUUCAACAAUCAUUACAUAUGAAUUAAUAAUUGGGUUGAAAUUAAAGAGCAAACUAUAGCUUUGAAAAUAAUGCUACCUAAUUACCUCAAUUUGCGUUCUACGAGGAGUGAGUGUUAGAGGACAUCAUGAAGAAGCAGAUGAGCCUGAUUAAUAACUAAUGAAAUAUAUAUAUAUAAAAUAUUUGUGAGAGCAUGCAUGCUUCUAUCGCACGAGCUAAACCUAAGUAGAAAUUCAGUGCUAACACUUUUUGCAGAAAAGUACAUCGAACUUUGUAAAUUUCUCUGUAGGUGUCCUAAUCUGUCCCUCUUAUAUAUACAGAUUCAUAAUUUUACAGUACGUUGGAAUUGGUGUUAUGCAAAAACCUAGUUAGAUGUCAUGAUAACGGCAAGACAGGGAUAACUAAAAAAACAUUAAACUUUUCAGAUUAGGGAUAUAUAUGGAGAGUUCGACUGGGCUACUAUUAGUAGCAAAAUUUUAUUGUUGCUACCAGUUUUUUAGCCUUUGAAUCAACUCUUUUCAUUAUUUCUAACCAUUGGAUUAAAUACUAUAACCCAGUGGGGACCACUCAACCCUAGGGGGGACCACUCAACUCUAACCGACUAAUAUCAUCCCGAUCCUACAAUUUUUCAUCCUAGGGUUAAAAACUUGAUAGCAAAAAGAGCGUUUUACUAUUAAUAGCAUUCCAGCCUAAUUCUAUAUAUAUAUAUAUAUAUAUAUAUAUAUAGUAGAGCUGCUAUACUCUUAUGAGUAUUGGACCCUUCGUACUCAUAAGUUGUUUUCGAUGAUGGGGCUUCCGAAUCGAUGAUCCACUCCGUUAAAUAUGAUCUAGAGUAUUUGAAAUUUCUAAAAAAUAAAUUUUGUAAUUUUUCGAAAUCAUAAUAAAGUCUAUCAAACAGGCAUAAAAUUAAGGGUCAAAAUCGAACGAUAUCUUAAAAAUGGAUGAUCGGAUCCUUUAAUUUAAGAUCGGAGUUAUUGAUCUUUAUCUAGGUAGUGACUAGAAUUUUUUUAUUAAAAAUUCAAUAUAUUCCGAUUCUUUUACACCGUUAAACUAGCAAGUAUUCCAUACCGGCCUUUAAAAAUUAUCAAUUUUGUGAGCUUUUGAUCGUAAGGUAAAUGAUGUCGAAAAAUUAUGAAAUUUGAUUUUUAGAAGUUUUAAAUACUCUAGAUAAUAUUUAACGGCGUGGAUUAUUGAUUCGGAAGCUCUAUCAUCGAAAACAACUUAUGAGUAUGAGGACGAUUAUACUCUAUAUAUAUAUAUAUAUAUAUAUAUAUAUAUAUGUGUGUGUGUGUGUAAAACCUUAAAAGAUAUCUGAAUGUAAUUGAUUAGUAAAAUUUUAAAAUAAUAAAUUAUUUUAAGUUUACAAAGCGUGCGAAGUUAAUUUUGUCAGUAUCAUUACUUAAGAGAAGUACAUAAAUAGAUAUAAGGAAGAAAAAAAAAAUAGUGAGCGCAAAUUGAUACCAAAUAAAUUUAAAUUUCGUGCUAGUUAAAGAAAUAGAUUGUUGAAUAUCACAUUUAUUAUUUAAAUCUCUUUUUUUUUUUUUUUGAAAGUCCCAACACGCUCCAGUAAUAAGUAAUAACUUAUAACGCAUGAAAUAAUUUCUUGCUACCAAAUAGUUUGGAAAGAUGUUAAAAUAAAUACAACGUUUAAUUAGUAUCAAAUUGAAACACUAAUAGUGGGUUGCGGCACGUGCACGUGGCACGGGGGAGGGGACAAAGGAAUAGUCGCAUGGAGCGCACGAGCUACGCUAAAUAUCGGAUCCAACGCCGAGCUAUACAAUGCCACUACAUGCCCUGACCCACAUUUUAUUUUAUCUCGGGGUGCGAAUUAACCCGACACGGACCCAUCACGCUAACCCUUUUGAACUCUCUCGUCCUUCUCUUUUCAUAUCUUUUCUUUUUUUAAAAAAAAAAAGAAAAAAAGAAAAGGACCCCUUGCUUAUAGCUCGACUUAAAGUGGCCCCUCAACUUUGAGUUUACAUUUAAAUAAUUCUAAUUUGUUAAAUUUAAUAAUAAUUAUUGUUAAGUAUAAAAAAAUAUAAAUACCGUUUUCUAAUAGCUUACGUUUUUAAAGUACAACAGGUUUCACAUGUGUUGCCGUACUCUAAAAGCUUAAGCUUUAGAGUACAACGGUUGUUUCACAUAGUAUCAAAGUAGGAGAUUCUGAGUUCGAAUCAUGCCAUACUCUUAGUGUUAUUUACUUUCUCUCAUGCUUCGAGUAGUAUUAAUUUUCUCCCAUUUAACUCAAGUUCACGUCAUGGUCUUUAAAAAAAAAAAAAGUCUCGAGUCCAGACGUGAGUCCGUUCUCUAAUAGCUUAAGUUUUUUAAAGCACAACAAUUGUUUCAUAAUUUUGUUAAAUACGCAGUUUUAGUUCCUUUUGUAAGCAAUAAAAUCAUGCUUAUGAUUGAUUAAUAGCUAGAAAGCGUAUUAAAUUUGAUUAGAAAAUAAUUUAGAAGAUAAGCAAAUUUGUUUAGAAAAAAUAUUAAAGUUGAGAGACCUAUUUCAAAAUAUUCUAUAAUUGA